UACAGAGGUGCCGAGCGUUAGGCGGAAUCACUGGGCUUAAAGCGUGUGUAGGCGGACUUCUAAGUACCUUGUGAAAUCCCACGGCUCACCCGUGGAACUGCUGGGUAUACUGGUCGUCUUGAGCCACCUAGGGGCCAGCGGAACAAAUGGUGGAGCGGUGAAAUGCGUAGAUAUCAUUUGGAACGCCAACGGUGAAAACAGCUGGCUGGGGGUGUGCUGACGCUGAGACACGAAAGCCAGGGGAGCGAACUGGG
rnacentral:rRNA from 1 species